GCCAUAGUAUUUAAAAUAGGAUUGUGAAACUCGUUAUCUUACAUCUAUCAAGCUUAUGUAGUUAUAUUAUAUUCCGAUGGCCAACGCAUAAAGAAACACUUACUGUAGAGAACAGCCGAUAUAUUUCGUUACCCCUGACAAAAAAUAGCCAAGUACUCAUCUUUCAAUGUAGCGGAUCGACUGAACAUUAAAGCUUGUGAUGGAGAGAAAUGA